rnacentral:rRNA from 1 species
GACGAACGCUGGCGGCGUGCUUAACACAUGCAAGUCGAACGGAAAGGCCCUGCUUUUGUGGGGUGCUCGAGUGGCGAACGGGUGAGUAACACGUGAGUAACCUGCCCUUGACUUUGGGAUAACUUCAGGAAACUGGGGCUAAUACCGGAUAGGAGCUCCUGCUGCAUGGUGGGGGUUGGAAAGUUUCGGCGGUUGGGGAUGGACUCGCGGCUUAUCAGCUUGUUGGUGGGGUAGUGGCUUACCAAGGCUUUGACGGGUAGCCGGCCUGAGAGGGUGACCGGCCCAAUGGGGACGGAGAUAGGGCCAAGACUCCCUGGGGGGGAAGGGGGGGGGAAUUUGGCACAAGGGGCGGAAGCCUGGGGCAGCAACGCCGGGGGGGGGAGGACGGCCUUCGGGUUGUAAACCGCUUUCGCCUGUGACGAAGCGUGAGUGACGGUAAUGGGGAAAGAAGCACCGGCAAACUACGU